rnacentral:rRNA from 1 species
AUUUGGAAAUGGGCGAAAGCCUGAUCCAGCCAUGCCGCGUGUGUGAAGAAGGUCUUCGGAUUGUAAAGCACUUUCAGNGNGGAGGAAGGGCAGUANNUUAAUACUUUGCUGUUUUGACGUUACUCACAGAAUAAGCACCGGCUAACUCCGUGCCAGCAGCCGCGGUAAUACGGAGGGUGCAAGCGUUAAUCGGAAUUACUGGGCGUAAAGCGCGCGUAGGUGGUUUGUUAAGUUGGAGUGAAAUCCCCGGGCUCAACCUGGGAACUGCAUUCGAAACUGGCAAGCUAGAGUCUGGUAGAGGGGGGUGGAAUUNCCGGUGUAGCGGUGAAAUGCGUAGAGAUCGGGAGGAACACCNGUGGCGAAGGCGGCCCCCUGGA